rnacentral:miRNA from 1 species
UUGAAAAUGUCGUACAGCACU